UACGUAGGUGGCAAGCGUUGUCCGGAUUUAUUGGGCGUAAAGCGCGCGCAGGCGGUUCUUUAAGUCUGAUGUGAAAUCUCGCGGCUCAACCGCGAGCGGUCAUUGGAAACUGGGGGACUUGAGUGCAGAAGAGGGGAGCGGAAUUCCACGUGUAGCGGUGAAAUGCGUAGAGAUGUGGAGGAACACCAGUGGCGAAGGCGGCUCUCUGGUCUGUAACUGACGCUGAGGCGCGAAAGCGUGGGGAGCGAACAGG
rnacentral:rRNA from 1 species